AGAGUGAACGCUGGCGGCAGGCCUAACACAUGCAAGUCGAACGGCAGCACAGGAGAGCUUGCUCUCUGGGUGGCGAGUGGCGGACGGGUGAGGAAUACGUCGGAAUCUGCCUAUUUGUGGGGGAUAACGUAGGGAAACUUACGCUAAUACCGCAUACGACCUACGGGUGAAAGCGGAGGACCUUCGGGCUUCGCGUAGAUAGAUGAGCCGACGUCGGAUUAGCUAGUGGCGGGUAAAGGCCACCAAGGCGACGAUCCGUAGCUGGUCUGAGAGGAUGAUCAGCCACACUGGAACUGAGACACGGUCCAGACUCCUACGGGAGGCAGCAGUGGGGAAUAGUUGGACAAUGGGCGCAAGCCUGAUCCAGCCAUGCCGCGUGUGUGAAGAAGGCCUUGGUGUAAGCACUUUGUACCGAAAGAAAGCACUCGGUUAAUACCGGUGUCAGUGACGGUACGAAG
rnacentral:rRNA from 1 species